GACUGAACAAAUGGUGAGAUUUGAUGCCAAAUGGAGUAGGAAAAAACUGCAACCCCAGCCGUCCCCAAAAGGGCGAACAUCUUAAAUCCAUAAGUCAUGCCAACUUUGAAGUUGUCAUCUCCAGGUUUUAUUCAACGUUUGAAUCAUGCUCAAACUUGCAGACUUGACUUAGAGCUUAGAUGCUUCAUCUCCAAAGGAAGCUGGCCGUGGAGUAUAACAGGAAAUCUAGUAAGCAAUCUGGAGUUUUCCUCUAGAAAGUGCUGUGGUCUCAAAGUACAGUCCUGGUAUCUGGACACAACGCCACAAAGGGAGGAAGAGAAUCACAUCACAGAAAAGUCAUGAAAUGAUUGAAAUGUUCUUUUCUGUUCUCCCAAAGCAUCAUUAAAUGUAUGUUGAACCUCAUCAUAUAAUCUGAUUAACACGUGUGCUUGAGAUGAUCCAUUAUAAUGAUGACAAUGGGAAUUUCCAAAGAACACUUAUUCUGUGCCACGAACGGUGCUAGCCACUUGCCAUGAAUCAUUUCCUUUAAUCUUCUCAGGAAUUUGGUUGAGAACAUUGAGACGCUGAUUUUAAGUGACUUUUCUAAGGCCAUGUGCAUAAUGCAUAGGUUUGAGUUCCAUGUGUCUUCGACUGCAGAUCCAUGCUGGUCCACGCCUCCUAGCUCUCAAACAGCAGUGAUGUAUCAUAAGAAAAGGACCAGGAGAUGAAGGGGGUGGGAACUGGCAUCUGCCCAGUACUUGGUCUGUAUCAGGUACAUCACAUGUUUUCGCAUGCUCAGCUCUACAUAAUUAAUAAGUAGGUGAGCUAAGAUUGAACACCAGAUGGAUCUGCUUUCAUAGUUCACUCAUGUUCCCUCAACUGGACUUGGUGCCUGAUUACUUUAUGUGAGUUAAAAAAAAAUUAAAACAGGUAUGAAAGUUAGAUUCAGGCACCACUUAACCCCAAAGCUAACUAAAAAUGAUACUGGGAAUUAAACAUAAGACACUGGUACCCUGAUUACCUAUCUGCUGCAUAACAAGUUACCCCAAAGUGUGGCGGCUUUAAUACAACAAUUUAUUAUUAUUAUCACAAUUCUGUGGAAUGAAAAAUCAGGUGGAACACAGUAGAAAAGCGUGCUUUUCUAAAUAAAUUUAUUUAUUUAAUUAAGUUUUAACGGACACAUAGUAACUGUA
rnacentral:lncRNA from 1 species